rnacentral:misc_RNA from 1 species
AACCUUAUGGACCUGCGGGCGUAUACCUGCGGAAGGAUCAUUACCUAGAGUUGUAGGCUUUGCCUGCUAUCUCUUACCCAUGUCUUUUGAGUACCUUACGUUUCCUCGGUGGGUUCGCCCGCCGGUUGGACAAAACUUAAACCCUUUGUAGUUGCAAUCAGCGUCUGAAAAAACUUAAUAGUUACAACUUUUAACAAUGGAUCU